rnacentral:rRNA from 1 species
UACGUAGGUGGCAAGCGUUAUCCGGAUUUACUGGGUGUAAAGGGCGUGUAGGCGGGACUGCAAGUCAGAUGUGAAAACUAUGGGCUCAACUCAUAGCCUGCAUUUGAAACUGCCAUGCUGGAGUGCCGGAGAGGCAAGUGGAAUUCCUAGUGUAGCGGUGAAAUGCGUAGAGAUCGGGAGGAACACCAGUGGCGAAGGCGGCCUACUGGACUGUAACUGACGUUGAGGCUCGAAAGCGUGGGGAGCAA